UGCCUCACUUGUGACAGAUGGAAGCUGC
rnacentral:piRNA from 1 species